ACGCUGGCGGCAGGCCUAACACAUGCAAGUCGAGCGGUAGAGAGAAGCUUGCUUCUCUUGAGAGCGGCGGACGGGUGAGUAAUGCCUAGGAAUCUGCCUGGUAGUGGGGGAUAACGUUCGGAAACGGACGCUAAUACCGCAUACGUCCUACGGGAGAAAGCAGGGGACCUUCGGGCCUUGCGCUAUCAGAUGAGCCUAGGUCGGAUUAGCUAGUUGGUGAGGUAAUGGCUCACCAAGGCGACGAUCCGUAACUGGUCUGAGAGGAUGAUCAGUCACACUGGAACUGAGACACGGUCCAGACUCCUACGGGAGGCAGCAGUGGGGAAUAUUGGACAAUGGGCGAAAGCCUGAUCCAGCCAUGCCGCGUGUGUGAAGAAGGUCUUCGGAUUGUAAAGCACUUUAAGUUGGGAGGAAGGGCAUUAACCUAAUACGUUAGUGUUUUGACGUUACCGACAGAAUAAGCACCGGCUAACUCUGUGCCAGCAGCCGCGGUAAUACAGAGGGUGCAAGCGUUAAUCGGAAUUACUGGGCGUAAAGCGCGCGUAGGUGGUUUGUUAAGUUGGAUGUGAAAUCCCCGGGCUCAACCUGGGAACUGCAUUCAAAACUGACUGACUAGAGUAUGGUAGAGGGUGGUGGAAUUUCCUGUGUAGCGGUGAAAUGCAUAGAUAUAGGAAGGAACACCAGUGGCGAAGGCGACCACCUGGACUGAUACUGACACUGAGGUGCGAAAGCGUGGGGAGCAACAGGAUUAGAUACCCUGG
rnacentral:rRNA from 1 species